rnacentral:rRNA from 1 species
UACGGAGGGUGCUAGCGUUGUCCGGAAUUAUUGGGCGUAAAGGGCUCGUAGGCGGUCUGUUGCGUCGGGAGUGAAAACUCAGGGCUUAACCCUGAGCCUGCUUCCGAUACGGGCAGACUAGAGGUAUGCAGGGGAGAACGGAAUUCCUGGUGUAGCGGUGAAAUGCGCAGAUAUCUGGAGGAACACCGGUGGCGAAGGCGGCAUCCUGGACCGGUAUUGACGCUGAGGCGCGAAAGCUAGGGGAGCAAACGGG